UGCUUAACAUCAGGACUGCUUGAAAAACUGCUAGACUUGAGAUAGGUCGGCGUUGCUGGAAUAUGGCAAGUAGAGGUGAAAUUCAUAGAUAUGCCAUAGAACACCGAUAGCGAAGGCAGGCGACGAGGCCUUAUCUGACGCUGAGGCACGAAAGCGUGGGGAUCAAACAGGAUUAGAUACCCUGGUAGUCCACGCUGUAAACGAUGAUGACUUGUUGUUUGGGAGUAAAUCCUGAGUGACAAAGCGAAAGCGAUAAGUCAUCCACCUGGGGAGUACGCCGGCAACGGUGAAACUCAAAGGAAUUGGCGGGGGCCCGCACAAGCGGAGGAGCAUGUGGUUUAAUUCGAUGGUACGCGAGGAACCUUACCUGGGCUUGAAAGUUAGGGACGGACGCUGAAAGGUGUCUUUCCCGCAAGGGACCCGAAACUAGGUGCUGCAUGGCUGUCGUCAGCUCGUGCCGUGAGGUGUUUGGUUAAGUCCAUCAACGAGCGCAACCCCUAUCGUUAGUUGCCAACGCGCGAGGCGGGGACUCUAACGAGACUGCCGGCGCAAGCUGGAGGAAGGAGGGGAUGACGUCAAGUCAUCACGGCCCUUACGUCCAGGGCUACACACGUGCUACAAUGGUGGAAACAGAGGGCAGCGAGGCCGUAAGGCGGAGCCAAUCCCAGAAACUCCACCCCAGUUCGGAUUGAGGUCUGCAACUCGACCUCAUGAAGCUGGAUUCGC
rnacentral:rRNA from 1 species